rnacentral:rRNA from 1 species
CCCUUAGAUGUCCUGGGCCGCACGCGCGCUACACUGAACGGAUCAGCGCGUUUUCCCUUCCCGAGAGGGACGGGUAACCUGCUGAACCCCGUUCGUGGUAGGGAUCGGGACUUGCAAUUAUUCCCCGUGAACCAGGAAUGCCCAGUAAGUGCAAGUCAUAAGCUUGCGUUGAUUACGUCCCUGCCCUUUGUACACACCGCCCGUCGCUACUACCGAUUGAACGUUUUAGUGAGGUACUCGGACUGAGCCUCAGAAGAUUCACGUCUUUUGUGCUGCUCGGGAAGAUUCCCAAACUUGAGCGUUUAGAGGAAGUAAAAGUCGUAACA